UGAGUUUGAUCAUGGCUCAGAUUGAACGCUGGCGGCAGGCCUUAUACAUGCAAGUCGAACGGAAACGAUGCUAGCUUGCUAGCAGGCGUCGAGUGGCGGACGGGUGAGUAACACGUGGGAAUCUGCCUAUUAGUGGGGGAUAAGCUGGGGAAACCCAGUCUAAUACCGCAUACGCACUACGGUGGAAAGGGGCCCUCUCCUUGGAAGGUCUCGCUAAUAGAUGAGCCCGCGUCGGAUUAGCUAGUUGGUGGGGUAAAGGCCCACCAAGGCGACGAUCCGUAGCUGGUCUGAGAGGAUGAUCAGCCACACUGGGACUGAGACACGGCCCAGACUCCUACGGGAGGCAGCAGUAGGGAGUAUUGGACAAUGGAGGAAACUCUGAUCCAGCCAUGCCGCGUGUGUGAAGAAGGCCCUAGGGUUGUAAAGCACUUUCAGUAGGGAGGAAACGCCUACGGUUAAUACCCGUAGGCUAUGACGUUACCUACAGAAGAAGCACCGGCUAAUUUCGUGCCAGCAGCCGCGGUAAUACGAAAGGUGCAAGCGUUAAUCGGAAUUACUGGGCGUAAAGCGUACGUAGGCGGUUGAUUAAGCAGGAUGUGAAAGCCCCGAGCUCAACUUGGGAACUGCAUCCUGAACUGGUCAACUAGAGUACAGCAGAGGAGAGUGGAAUUUCUCGUGUAGCGGUGAAAUGCGUA
rnacentral:rRNA from 1 species